UUAGGUUAGAUGUUCAGAAGAAAUUCUCUACUCAGAGGGCAGUGAGGCCCUGGUACAGCUGCUCAGAGAGCUGUGGGUGCCCCAUCCCUGGAGGUGCUCAGGGCCAGGUUGGGUGGGCGCAGGGCAGCCAGAGCUGGUGGGGGACAACCACUGUGACUCAGUUCUUCCUACUACACAACUCCUGAAAAACUCAAAUAACACAAAACCUACAUUUUAAGCCUUCCAAGAUCAGAACCCAGAAAUGAAGGAACUUCAAACUGUUGGUCACUUUAAUCAUUACAACCAGUUCUUGAGCAGCUUACAGUGCAUUUUAGUCUGUCUAGUUGAGCUGGAACACAGCAUUGUGUCUUUUCCUGUCAGAGCCAUAAGUUCGAAUCAUAUCAGAAAACUCAAAGAGCAAAUAAAUAUCUCCUGAAAGAAGAAAAUCUGAGCUUUAAAUAAGGAGGGCUACUCUCUGAGAAGGCAAUGCUUCUGGCCCAAAUCAUACUACAUUAGAAACCUGCGUUGGUGCAGAUUGACUUGAGCCCCUUCAGUGAACACAGACAUACAAAACAGAAUAAAAGUGUCACAGAAAAUAAGUGCACAUUCACCUUUCAGCUGGACUUUCUCCCACGGAAUUAAGCAUAUGAUUAAAACUGGAUUUGGUAGUGGAAGAACUCUGUGCAGUCUGAAGAAAGGCAAGUUCUCAGUGAAUGCAUUCAGAUUCAGAGUAGAAGCCAAUCUAGAUGGAUUUGUCUUCCAAAAGAUGCUAUGACUGUGCAGGAAGCUUAAGGCAACCAGGCACCUGAAGGAGAUUUCCAUCAGCUCCUAGUCAUUCCAUGAAAGGCAACCAAGGCUCUACAGCAGAACCUUCCACUGCCUUGUCUUUCUCAGAUUUAUGCAUUUUUUCUAAUAGGUAUUACCACCAGUCUGCUCUCCAGAGCCCUUCAAUUCCACGUGUUCCUCUAAAAUAAAUGUUAAGAAAGGUGAAGGAAUUAUCCUUGAAUUCUAAUGUUAGCCAGCAUACACCCACCAAAGGGUGUAUAUUAGAGAAGUAUCUGAAAAAGCAUACAUACCACUAACAUCUUACCCUUUGUCAUAGCUCCAGCCAUACAGGAAUAAUAACAGCUAGAGUCCAGCUUAAUCCACUUCAAACUGGGGAACUGAUUUAGUGGUAUUGCAAGUCCAGCUGGAUUGCCAUGGCGCAGCCUUUGGCACAGAUGGAUCAGAGCAUGCGAUCCAUCCAGUGCUGGAUGGCUCAGACUGCAAUCUGGCUUUCCACUUAGGCUUGAUCCUGCUGCCUGCUUCUCAACAGCACAACAGAAGAGAGACUCUGCCUCUUAUGGAGUGUCCUUUACUCCACACUGGCCUUGAAGCCUCGAUAGCCCUUUUCCAUGGUGAGGACUGGAGCUAAUUAUCUGCUCUGAAACAGUUAACCUUAAAGUAAGAUACAAGAAGGCAAUGAUAGCUCCAUGGAUCUGAAUUUCUACCUGGUAGUUGUUGGUCUUUCUCUUCAAAAGCUGUUCUUCUUUAUUUACCUUUUGGAGGAAGAAUUUCCAUCUUCCUUCCGCAGAGAAACAUUUAAUGUUAAGAUGAUUUUCACCUAGUACUCUGUUUUUGCAUUGCUCCAAACAGAUCAAUUUUCCAUUAAGAUAAAGACAGAUGAGCAGACUGCAGCCACUGAACAGAGUGUGCUGGCAGAGCAGAACAGCAGUAUAAUGACAUUAAGACUCAGAUUUUUUAAACAUGCAAAAAAUAAAUCAAAUUACAAAAGAAAAAGUAGUCCAAAUUUGUCAGCAGCACAGAGUCACUUGGAGGUCCUUCAUAAAUGCUGAACAAUUGGCUUCACCUACAGCCCUUAACUGCUCCAGCUGGUCAUUACCUGACCACUAAAGCCGUUUGGAUGAGUCAGUAAUGUUUAAAUAAUCCCCAUCCAGACACUGUCUUACACCUUCCUUAGUGGACUGCAGUGCAGUGCAAAUGCAUGGUACAAUUAAUUAACACUGGGACCAAAACCAGAGUCUCUAGCUUCCAAAACAAAUGCUCAGCCAUGUAGCCAAAAGCACCACUCCAAUGACAUAAGCCAAUUUACUCCCUGUUUUAUUAAACUUCCACAGUGUUUAGAAUCACUAAGUCACAGUGGGUCUGGCACUUCGUGUUGUGAAUGCUGGUGUUUCCUUACCCACCAAAACACAGUUGUAAGCCUGUAUUGCUAAUUCCCCUAUCUGAGGUAUUUUCAUUUUACUGCAAAUCAUAUGUAAUGAUGUGAAAUUUGGCAAUAUGUGUAACAGAGCCUGAGCCCAAU
ensembl:lncRNA